GACGAACGCUGGCGGCGUGCCUAAUACAUGCAAGUCGAACGAACCGCGACUAAGUGCUUGCACUAAGUCAAGGUGAGUGGCGAACGGGUGAGUAACACGUGGGUAACCUACCUCAUAGUGGGGGAUAACAGUCGGAAACGACUGCUAAUACCGCAUAGGACAUAGGAUCACAUGAUCCAGUGAGGAAAGGUGGCGCAAGCUAUCGCUAAGAGAUGGACCCGCUGUGCAUUAGCUAGUUGGUAGGGUAAAGGCCUACCAAGGCGAUGAUGCAUAGCCGACCUGAGAGGGUGAUCGGCCACAUUGGGACUGAGACACGGCCCAAACUCCUACGGGAGGCAGCAGUAGGGAAUCUUCCGCAAUGGACGAAAGUCUGACGGAGCAACGCCGCGUGAGUGAAGAAGGUCUUCGGAUCGUAAAGCUCUGUUGUUAGAGAAGAACAGCGCAUAGAGUAACUGCUAUGCGUGUGACGGUAUCUAACCAGAAAGCCACGGCUAACUACGUG
rnacentral:rRNA from 1 species